GAUGCUUUGACAGUUGUAUAUAUUAUGAAAUGAUCACUACAAUAAGUCUAGUUAACAUCUGUCACCAUAUUUAGUUAUAAAAAUUUUGUUUUCUGGGAUGAGAACUUUUAAGACCUACUCUUUUAGCAACUUUCAAAUAUUUAAUGCAGUGCUAUUAACCACAGUCAGCAUGCUGUACUUUACAUGCCCCAGGGCAGCCCUUCUUCGAAUUUGAAACAAACUCAUAAAUAAAGAACCCCCUCCCUACCAAUACCUUGAAACAAUGUGGUGGACAGAGAGCUCUGUAUUUCAUAGGAGAUGCCUGCAGAGAUUGCAGUAAGUUUCCAAAAAUAAAAGAACAAACAGUUCCCCUUGCACUUAUUUGUUAUGAUAGCUACAGGACCAAAAAGAAACUCAUACCAUCCUGGGGGGACAGAAUGCACAAGGAUUUGAUUUUGCUCAUUUUCAUAAACAUCAUGGAGCAUCGUUGGCUCUGAAUCCUACAGAGUCGUCUUGGCAUAUUUAUAGGACUCAGACCCACAUCGGUGCAUCAGGAAGGUUUCAGGUUUGGAGAACAGGUUUCCCUACUGACAAAUAGCAUAAUUAGGCAUAAUGUCUUAAGUGAACAUAUUAGCUUGGGCUUUUAACAGUGUGCAAGCCUUGGCUUCCGCAAUAACCACCUAAUCUUGUGUGGGAGCCAUCCCAGGCUUCACUUGAACACAGGCGCUAUGCGUACACCUGCAGACAAAGCUGGGAAUGGGUUUAUUUAUAUUGUCCUUGUUAGUCAUGCAGCCUGUGUGCAAACAAAACAACAUUAUUCUUAUCUCCUCAGCAAGUUUAAUUCAUUAACAAUUAAAAGUUAGUGCAGAAAGAGGGCCAGGCCUGGGGAGAGGUUCAUCCUAGCACAGCAGCCCUGGUCAGAGAUUUGCAGGGGCAACUCUCACAGAUAACAGCACCGUGAUGUUUGCUGAAUUGUUUUUCAUAUAGACUUUACUCACGGAAGGAUGAUCUUGCUGUAACUUAAUAAGAUAAUGUCGCCAACAAUCUCUUCAAAAAAUACCCUGUUGAAACUUGCUGUCCUCGGGCUCUUGCCAGAGCCCAUUCCUGCCUCCUGCCUGCUGUCUGGCUUGUUUUUAGCAGUGGUUGCCUCUGGGCCGGGUUUGUGUUCUUGAAGAACUCAGUUCAGGAUGGUCCUAGCAGCUGAUGGAAGCCUCCAGAGCAAUGGGUCAGGCUGUCAAGGUGGAACCCCGAGGCUGCAUGUGGCUGUGGAUACAGAAUUGAGUGGGCAUGAUCUGGAGAUACAGCAGGUUCAAGUAUGCAGAGUAGACCAAACCGGAAAGAAGGCAUCACUUUAAACUGAAACAAAUCAGGGCUAACCAGAAAAGACCUUUUAGGCCAAAGACCACUUGAGAUGUCCCUGAUUCCUCCAUGUUUCACUCACUGGCUCCUGGCUCCUGGAAUCUGUUGGACCUGUAUUUGCAUUCACCAUUUCUCAGGAGGGAAAUGAUUCUAGUGACCUCACUGUGGGGAGACAGGAGUUUCUGGUGAGUCAUCAAACUGCCAGGCUGUUCUAUGUAAGUGGGCUCUUGGCUCUGGAUUAGGAAAGGAAUGCCUUCAUCGGGUAACACCGAAGCAUCUUGGUGAACUCACGAAGUGCGUGGGGUACCCUAACCACCGUUUUUGGUGGGAAGAUCAGGCUGUCACUUGUACUUCACCUUCAGAAUUCUCCUCUGCUUGAAUUAAGCUCUGCAGGCAGUGUCCUGGAUUGUGAGAAGGAUAGAGACCCUGAAGACAUGCUGGCAUUUAUUCCUCACACUGCUCCUGAGGACACACAGGAGAGUGUUCUGGCCAAAUUAACCAGUUAUCGGUUCCCCGAAUAACUUCGGUUUUGGACCCCUGACUUGCCUCUGUGAGUAAGUGAGAGGUUAUCUUCCCUGCGUACUUUUGCCUCUUGGCUUUCCUGUCACUACACGAACAUUCAGCCCACAGAUUUCUGUUAUCUAAUCAGGUGCAUCGGUCUGUGGUGGAGACGAGAAGGGAGGAACGCCCCUCUGACUCAGUUUUUGCACAAACAAAACUCAUCCUUGUUAGCAAAGGCAGGAGGAGUACCCAUGGCUGCUCAGAUCAGAUUUUCUCCCCACACUCCUGUAGGGCAGUGCAGAUGGGUGGGUUUUUACGGCAAGAUAAGCAACUGGAGGGCUCCACUUGGGUAUGCUAAAAAAAAUUAAAAUGUCAAUAUUUACACAUGACCUUCAAGGCUCUUACACUCUUGCUUUCUUAGGAUUCAGUACAGACUGCGUUUUCUUUAGCCUGUUACCAACAGCUUGGAAAUUCAGUUAGAGGACAUAACCCAAAUGUUCUCCAAAUGUUCCUUCCAAAUGGUCAUCGUGAAAAGUGCUGUUUUAAGGCGUGCAACCUUUCUGCACUAAGAGAGGGCUGUCGUCCUGCUUACCCAACUGCGGGGGAAUUAUCUGGAGAUUAAAACCACCGAUGAUAAAGAUAGAGCUGCCAAGCUGCUUUAAUUUGUUGAUAACUAAAGCACAAGAGGCCUCUUACAGGCUUCUCGAAGCCUCACUAUUGUGUGGUGCACAUUCAACCCUUGCUUGUGUGCUGACACAAACAAAUAAAUGCGAUCAUAACGGUUGAAAUGUAGUUAGAAACACAAUUGAGAACAUCUGUAUUGUAAGCAGAAAUAAAUUAGAAAUACUGAAGUGUUGUGUAGCUGUGAAAACGAAGGAAUAAAAAAAAUAACCCACAGUACCUGGAUUAAGUGGUUAUAAAUAAUUUAUAAAGCAAAAAUCUCAUUACCCCCUGUGUAAACUCCCCCCUCAAUGAAAUAUAUUUUAUGAAUGUAGUAACACCGUAAUAACCAAAGCAUUUGUUUUUCCCCACAAACUUUCCAUUUCAUAACUGGGAGAUGGUUUGGAUUUACAAGUUCAGGACAAAACAUCCCCGAGUUUACUGGUUUUGCUUUCUUCCUUGUGACCUUCAGCCCCGGGACUCUGUGGGGCUCUGCACGCCUUAUCAGAAUGCUGCUUUGCACAUGUGAAAGUUUUCCCCAAAUACCUUUCUGUAAAUAUGUUAACAGGAGUGAAUAGAAAUCCCCUCAGCUCUGGGGGAAAGGGCCUUGAAACUUGCAUUGCAGUGCCCACGGGGAGGGUAGAAGGUGUGCUUCCUGCCCAGGCCUAUGUCACCCAUGUGACUCCUGGAGUCCAGGCCACUGUCAAUAAACUCAAUCGUGUUGUCUGGAUCACUAAAUAAAGUGACAGUUGCCAGAUUAGCGAGUUUGUCCAGCUGAGCUAUGGGGCCAUUACACGGGUGGCCAGAAUUUUCCACUGGGCACUAUCCUCAGCAUAGCCAGAAUCCAAGGGGAGCCUGAUUCUCUGCACACUCACUCACCCCUGCAGCUCUUCCCUCUCCAGUUUCUUGGUUCUUUUUUUUUCUAUCAUAAACCCAUAGUCAGACUCUGGAACAUCAUGAGACCCAGUGGCAUGCUCAAGGGUUAAGCAUGACUCUGGUGUCCUGUUGUUUAUGAAACCCAGUUCUUCUGAGUCAUGCAAGCUGAACCCUCAUAUCUUUAAGAGAUGCUAGGGAGGGAGGUAAAGCGGAGGAAGCUGGCUCAUUACAACCUUUUAUGUAACAGGAGACACCCUAAGCCUAAUCGGCUCCUACCUCAAAUACCUUGUGAUUUCUUCUGAGCUUUUAAUUAAUGAGUUAACGUACAUCCUAUCUGGCUCUCCUGGAGUCCUUGGAAUGGUUCCUAAGUGAACCACAGAUACCCACAAAGAUAACUGUCUGAUUUCUAUCCCGAAGCCUGGUCAGGUGCUGCUCCACUCUCAUGACUUGUGACCAUGUUCUAUUUCUGCCUCACCCAUUGGAAUAGCUGUGUGGCUAAGCCACUAAGCAGAAUGACCCCGUUAGAUUCCCUUCUGGUAAGAAGUCACUCAUGGACUCAUCUUUGGAGUCACAUUCAGAAACAUGUAAUUUCUCCUUGUUCAGGUAUGUAGCUAGUGGGGGAAAUUACUAGGUUAUGAGUCAGAAGAUUGCUCUGACGUCUUCUUGAAUCUACCUGAGUGACUUUGGAUUCAUCCACCUCUGAGCCUCACUUAUUAUUGAAAAUGGGGAUAGUAUUACCUCACACUUUUCACUUCAGUGUGACCUAAAUAAGGUCACGCACAUAAGAGGGCUGUUUAUGUGCUGUUAUUGAAUGGUUUAGAGCGUUAUGUGUUAUUGAAGGGUAUGGGGUUAUUUGUCUUUGUUCAGGCUACCAUAACGAAAUACACCACACUGAGUAGCUUGUCAGCAAAAAAAAUUCAUUUCUUUAAGUUCUGGAGGCUGGAAGUCUGAAAUCUGGGAGCCAGCAUGGUUGUGUGAAGGCUCUUUUCUGGUUGUAGACUUCUCAGCUUCUGACUGUGUCUAUGCAUGCUGGAGAAGAAGGGAGGAUCUUUCUGGACCCAUUUCAAAUUUAAAUUUACUUAUUUUUAAUUGCAAGAUGAUUGCUUUACAAUAUUUUUAGUUUCUUCCAUAUAUCAACAUGGAUCAGCCAUAGGUAUACAUAUGUCCCCUCCUUCUUGAACCUCUCCCCUGCCUCCCACCCCAUCCCAGCCUUCUAGGUUGUCACAGAGCACUGGAUUUGAGCUUCUUGUGUCAUACAGCACAUUUCCACUGGCUAUCUAGUUG